CUAGCGACAGGCCUAACACAUGCAAGUCGAGGGGCAGCACAAGGAGCAAUCUGAGGUGGCGACCGGCGCACGGGUGAGUAACACGUAUGCAACCUGCCUGUAAGCGGGGAAUAACCCGUUGAAAGACGGACUAAUACCGCAUAAUACUAAAUUACUGCAUGGUAAUUUAUUUAAACAUUUAUGGCUUACAGAUGGGCAUGCGCAUGAUUAGCUAGUUGGAGAGGUAACGGCUCCCCAAGGCAACGAUCAUUAGGGGUUCUGAGAGGAAGGUCCCCCACACUGGUACUGAGACACGGACCAGACUCCUACGGGAGGCAGCAGUGAGGAAUAUUGGUCAAUGGACGAGAGUCUGAACCAGCCAAGUCGCGUGCAGGAAGAAUGUCCUUAAUGGAUUGUAAACUGCUUUUGCAGGGGAAUAAAGUGCAUCACGUGUGAUGUUUUGUAUGUACUCUGCGAAUAAGGAUCGGCUAACUCCGUGCCAGCCGCUGC
rnacentral:rRNA from 1 species